rnacentral:rRNA from 1 species
UACGUAGGGGGCAAGCGUUGUCCGGAUUUACUGGGCGUAAAGAGCGUGUAGGCGGCCAAGCAGGUCCGUUGUGAAAACUGGAGGCUUAACCUCCAGACGUCGACGGAAACCGCGUGGCUAGAGUCCGGAAGAGGAGAGUGGAAUUCCUGGUGUAGCGGUGAAAUGCGCAGAUAUCAGGAAGAACACCAAUGGCGAAGGCAGCUCUCUGGGAUGGUACUGACGCUGAGACGCGAAAGCGUGGGGAGCGAACAGG